UAAAGACAGACGCCCUCGCUGGGAGAAGAAGAGCUAAGCUUGUCUGCUCAGCUCUGAAGGCAGGACUAAUCUACUUCGAUGAACAAUAAGUCACAUACUUUUCCGGUCUGGAUGUGUGGCGUAAUGUUCCUCUGCACUGUCAGAAGGGAACCCUGAAGAUGUGCAGCAUAAAGCAGAGGUCCAUGCCUAUCCUCUCGGAACUUAGGAGGGUCUGUCUGGAUAAGUUUUUCACCUAUAGCCCACAGAACCAAGCCAUCCAAGGUGAGGAUGGUAGUUCCAUCUCUGGUGUAGAUUUUGGAAGCUGCUCUGGUGAGUUGAAGUCGUUCUGUGCAUUCUGCAAGAAGCUACACAACACAAGUGGUAAAGAACUGAUAGGAGGAGCUAGAGCGGUAGCUCAGCACUUAUAAGUACUCGCUGCUCUUGAGAGAACCCAGGU